rnacentral:rRNA from 1 species
GAUGAACGCUGGCGGCGUGCCUAAUACAUGCAAGUCGAGCGAACAGACGAGGAGCUUGCUCCUCUGACGUUAGCGGCGGACGGGUGAGUAACACGUGGAUAACCUACCUAUAAGACUGGGAUAACUUCGGGAAACCGGAGCUAAUACCGGAUAAUAUAUUGAACCGCAUGGUUCAAUAGUGAAAGACGGUUUUGCUGUCACUUAUAGAUGGAUCCGCGCCGCAUUAGCUAGUUGGUAAGGUAACGGCUUACCAAGGCGACGAUGCGUAGCCGACCUGAGAGGGUGAGCGGACACACUGGAACUGAGACACGGUACAGACUCCUACGGGAGGAAGCAGUAGGGAAUAUUUCGCAAUGGGCGAAAGCAUGACGGAGCAACGCCGCGUGAGUGAUGAAGGUCUUCGGAUCGUAAAACUCUGUUAUUAGGGAAGAACAAAUGUGUAAGUAACUAUGCACGUCGUGACGGUACCUAAUCAGAAAGCAACGGCUAACUACGUG